AGUAUUUAUCUCUUCAAGUAUUGCAUUACAUCAGCCAAGGUGAUUCAGAGCCUCCUUAACUGUGUUGGGUAUUAAAAUUUAAUCUAUAGAGACAAUUAAAGAGCUAGACAAAGGAGACGAAUGAUCAUAUAAAAUAAAAUUACUAAUGGGAUAAGUAAAGUUAGGAAGGGUGUAUUGACAUUUACCUUUACAAAGAUUAAUGGGAAGAUCAAGGUCAUGUGGG
rnacentral:lncRNA from 1 species